rnacentral:rRNA from 1 species
AUUGAACGCUGGCGGCAGGCCUAACACAUGCAAGUCGAGCGAGCGGCGGACGGGUGAGCAAUGUCUGGGAAACUGCCUGAUGGAGGGGGAUAACUACUGGAAACGGUAGCUAAUACCGCAUACCAUCAGAUGAUCCCAGAUGGGAGUAGCUAGUAGGUGGGGUAACGGCUCCCCUAGGCGACGAUCCCUAGCUGGUCUGAGAGGAUGACCAGCCACACUGGAACUGAGACACGGUCCAGACUCCUACGGGAGGCAGCAGUGGGGAAUAUUGCACAAUGGGCGCAAGCCUGAUACAGCCAUGCCGCGUGUGUGAAGAAGGCCUUCGGGUUGUAAAGCACUUUCAGCGGGGAGGCGUUACCCGCAGAAGAAGCACCGGCUAACUCCGUGCCAGCAGCCGCGGUAAUAC